UCAUUUAAAAAAAGAAAAGGAGUUUUAAUCACUUUUUGAUUUAGUACGUGGCUUGCAUUGAUUGGGCUAUGUGCUACAUUUAGCUUCCGCAAACUGAGUGCUUCAAGAUUUUGGAUACUCUUUCGUUCCAACGGAACACAUAAUUUGUUCGGUGUGCCGAGCGACAAGACACCAAUGUCUUUUUUAAGUGAACAAGGCCAAUUAUAUAUUCAACAUUAUGUUCAAAAGGGGAGUGGCUGCUGAUGUUUGGAGCUACAAUAUCAUGAUUAAAGGAUUCUGUAAGAUUAAAAGGGUAGAUGAUUUAUUUAUUUAUACAUUAUAAUUUUGAAUUUAUAUUUCAGCAUUAUCACAUAAUUUCAUUCAUGCACUUGCUUCACAUAAUGGGAAAAAGACUUUUGUUAUUGAUAAA